rnacentral:rRNA from 1 species
CGGCGGACGGGUGAGUAAUGUCUGGGAAACUGCCUGAUGGAGGGGGAUAACUACUGGAAACGGUAGCUAAUACCGCAUAACGUCGCAAGACCAAAGAGGGGGACCUUCGGGCCUCUUGCCAUCAGAUGUGCCCAGAUGGGAUUAGCUAGUAGGUGGGGUAACGGCUCACCUAGGCGACGAUCCCUAGCUGGUCUGAGAGGAUGACCAGCCGCACUGGAACUGAGACACGGUCCAG